rnacentral:lncRNA from 1 species
CCCGGGUUCACGCCAUUCUCCUGCCUCAGCCUCCCAAGUAGCUGGGACUACAGGCGCCCACCACCACGCCCGGCUAAUUUUUUGUAUUUUUAGUAGAGACGGGGUUUCACCGUUUUAGCUGGAAUGGUCUCGAUCUCCUGACCUCGUGAUCCGCCCGCCUCGGCCUCCCAAAGUGCUGGGACUACAGGCGUGAGCCACCGCGCCCGGCCUGUAAAUCUUUUCUAUUUGCUAUUUUAAUGAUUUCCCUAAUUGAUUUUAGAUAAUUUGUAAAUGUGUUUAUUGAAUUUUUUAUUUAAUAACACUGUAUCAUGCUCAAAACUAUAUAGUUUAUUUUUAUUUACUUAGCUAAGUCAAAUUCUUUUUAAGGAAAAAAACAGGUAGGUACCAUUGUUAGAUGGGGAUAUUGCUAUUGGAAUAUAUGAAUGCUCAGAGUGAUAAAAGCUAGUUUUUAAAAAUUCACUUCCAGAAUGUCAACACAAGAGGAGUUAUUUCAGAUAGCUUGGAGUCCAUUUCUUAUUACAGCAGUAAAAGUAUUUCCAGGAACAAUUAGCUUCUCAUCUUAGAGUUCACAUUUACAAACAACAUUAUAAAAGCAUCUUUGAAAUAUGCUUCUCUGUUUUAACUUCAAAUAAGAUAUUCAUUCAUGAGCUUUUAUAGGAUUUGGUGAAUUCUCAAAUGUCAAUACUGGAGCAAUAUUUAAAAGGAACAUUUAACUAAACUUUUUAAAUAAGUGGUUCACAAAAUUGCUUGACAUGUGCUGUGAUAAUUUUAUUCAUUUUAAUUAACUGCACUAUAAAUUGCCAAAUUCAGUCACUAGCAGGAUAAUGCAUGCUGAUCAGAUCAUAGGAGUCACACAAAACUGUGAGGGAAACGGAGUCAGAUUAAAGCUAUAAUUAAGUAUCUCUUCAGUCAUAGAGGACAAAUGGAAAGAUAAGGUAAAUCAUUCAGUCAAAUGCCAAAAAAAAAAAUGGUGGCAAUCAG